rnacentral:piRNA from 1 species
UGCCCUCAGCUUUAUGUCACGAUCACC